rnacentral:lncRNA from 1 species
UUAAUUCUAUUAAACCUUUUUAUCGUUCUAUCUAAUUAAAACUGCGAUGUAUUUACUAUCGAUUUCUAAGUAUCGAUAGUAAGUCUGGGUGGCGUGGGUGCAGACAACAGAAUUUGUUUAUUUACGUUUUUUAAACGAUGACGUAUUUAGACGAAAGAGCUGUGCAGAAGCUCUGUAGGCAUUAGUUACGAAUAAAACUUUGGUUGGGCUUAUUGGCCCCCGGGGGCCAAUAGCCAAAAGUGCUAUUGGCCCCCGGAUUCCGGGGGAAAGCUAUUUGCCCCGGCCGCUAGGGGGCCUACGGGGAAGGGCCGCGCCUACCAGCAGGCUUUUGACAAUUGACACCAACAUGGUCUCCACGUAAGUACGGGCAUGUCCGUACCAAAAAACCGUCGCAUUUCUAGCCUUCUCAUUGGCUCACAGGCUUCAGAGGGACCAGCCAGUAUACAGUUGCUUUUUAGUAUCAUUCCUGUUUAUUCAAGUGCAACUGUCAGAUGAAAAGCAUCACCUAGAUGACGCUCGUCAGGGUGUUGUGUAUGGGGAGAUUUUGCAGCCCUUGUUUACAUUUUUUAAACGAUGACGUCUUUCGACGAAAGAGUUGCAGAAGCUCUGCAGGCAUUAGUUACGCCUGCAACUUUUGAAGGGAUUGUUACGCAGCUUGAAGAAAACAACAAGAGAAGCAACGUACAACAACUUUAAUCGAUCAACGAGUAAGAAUCAAUAAACCAAGGGAAAUCUAGUGCUUUACGAGUCAACCUGAGCUGGCCUGAGGAGGGAGAGUGGAUCCUAUCAAGAAUAAGGCUCAAGAGAAGUAUCUUAAUAUGCUUAUAGACCUUGGAACGGAAGACCCAUAAUCCUAAGAAGUCAGACGGUGGAAAUCCUUGCAAUCAGACUAAGCGAUUAUAUAGUCUACAUGACAAGCAUGAGGCCAAUUCUCGUGCAGUGUCAAAGGGUGCUUUAUGAUGGAGGUGCUGAAAUCCCGGGUAGCUAAAUUCAGUGAUAGCAGCAAAGCGCGCUUGGUUAAAAAUCAUCCAAAAGAAGGCGCGUAUCGACAAGAUCAUUGGAUCUUCUCAAUGAGAAGGAUGUUAUCGUGACGCAACCAGAUUUAGAUAGUGGUGAAUUCCCGUGACACACACUUGGUGCAGUUCCUUUGAUCUAGUACUAUGCGGUCAUUGACGCACAGAUGUUAAGGCUGCGAUAUAAGGAAGCAAUUCUUCAAAACCAGAACAAGAUCGCCAUAUUUCAUUGCUUCUCCGCCCGCUGAAUCUCCGUUCUCACAAGUGACGCUUUCACGGAUGGGUUUACGGAAAAGGAAGAAGAAAUAUUGGACGAAUUGGGGUCCGGUGUAGAGGAGUUUGAAGACGAAGGAGACUUUGGAUAUGCCACUUGAAGCGCCAUUUAGAAGAUUGCGAUUCGCAUUCGGACGCCUUAGCCUUAGAUGAGCUCACGUCUACUCCAUCAACAAAUUACUAUGAUUUUCUUAUGAAAGUCUGUAAUGCAUGAACCAAUUUAUUCAAUACAAAUAUUAAACUGAA